CACAUGGGUCACCUACCCUUAAGUGAGGAAUACCGGCGAGAAAUCGCCGACAAGACCGCAUACGCUCUCUCUUUCGCACGGGAGAGCAAAGCCUCGCAAGAGGUGCUUGAGGAUGGGCCUGUGGCCGAUUAGCUCGUUGGUAGGGUAAUGGCCUACCAAGGCUUCGAUCGGUAGCUGGUCUGAGAGGACGAUCAGCCACACUGGGAUUGAGAACGGCCCAG
rnacentral:rRNA from 1 species